GGGUACAGUACCUCGUAAGCUAUAUUACCGUCUAUCAUCGUAAUUAUUUUUGUUAACAUCUUCUUUUAUGAAUGUAGUGAGACAUAUGAAAUAUCAAGUGACGAACUCGAUGAAUGGCUAAGGGAAAACGUUGAUAAAUCUGCUGCAGAGGGGGAGAACCAACAUGACCUGCGAUCGACAGAAGGUCGCUAUGUGUCCUCUGAAACAAUACCGGCUGUGAACUUGGGAAGUGAUGGUCCUUCCUCUCAAGGACGCACAGAAUAGAGUAGUGUAAACCAGCCGUCACAGAGCAUGUUGAGUCCGGCUGAUUCGAAUGUGAUGGUUGUGAGGGAACAGACACCGUCCGAAGCACUUGCAAUAGUCCCGAUUCAGGUUUUUGUGCCGACAUCCCAAACAACCACUGAGACAGAUUUUGAACCAACCCCUAUGCUACAGAUUGAAGGGACUACAGAAACCACUCCUGAACCCCCCAAACAACUUCAAGAGACCACACCCACGCUUCCCCCAGCU